GUCCGCGGCGCCCAACGGGGAAGACUGAGGUGCCGGGAGACGCGCGAGGAGCCGCCGCCGCCGCCGCCGCCGCGCCAUGGAGCCCGAGUGAGCUCCGGCCGCUGGACAACAUGGAGGCAGCGCCGCCCGGGCAGCCGUGGCCGCUGCUGCUGGUGCUGUGCGGCUGCCCGGCCCCCGCCGCAGAUGGAGUCCCGCUCUGUCGCCCAGGCUGGAGUGCUGUGGCGCGAUCUCGGCUCACUGCAAGCUCCGGCUCCCAGGUUCAUGCCAUUCUCCUGCCUCAGUCUCCCAGGUUCACACCAUUCUCCUGCCUCAGCCUCCCAAGUAGCUGGGACUACAGGUGCCCGCCACCACACCCAGCUAAUUUUUUCUAUUUUUUAGUAAAGACGGGGUUUCACCAUGUUAUCCAGGAUGGUCUCGAUCUCCUGACCUCGUAAUCCGCCCACCUCGGCCUCCCAAAGUGCUGGGAUUACAGGCAUGAGCCACCACGCCCAGCCGGAAUCUGUUCUUUAUGCUGCUAAGGUUGAGAAGCAUGCCCACCAGGUGACUCUUGGUGAGAGGUCUGGUACCUUUAGCACUGCCGGAUCCACGCCUGGAAACGCGGGCAUCCUCUGAGGAUGGCUGACGGGGGUCCUCUCAGCUUUGGAUGGCUUCUCCUCAUCUGACUCUUCCUUCCUGGGUGAUUUCUCUUCUGUUGCAAAGAAAAGGGCACUGAAGUCAUCGGCAGUUGCCAUGUAUUGAGGUCCUACGUGCCAGAUAAUUUGCACACAGUAUCUCAUGCAAUGCUCACAUCAGACCUGCACAGAAGACGCUAUGGCCCAUUUUACAGAUGAGGACCACCCAGGUGCCUGCUUUCAUGCUCUCUCUUCUCACAACUCUGCUUCUUGCUGGAAGAUACUGACAACAGGCAGAGUAGGUUUUCUUUUGCAGGAGGACACAGGCAAACCCAUCUCCUGGGCCCUUGGCUCAUUCCAAGUCAGGGAAAUAGAAGGAAAUCUUUGGGAGAGGCAGGAAAGUAGAUAGGAAUGCUUUCAGCCAACAAUGCACUGAGGUUAUGCUCUCAGAGGAGAAUGUGGAGAGCUUCAUGUGUCUUGUGGAAAGGCAGCCCAAAGGUGGACCAGGAAGCCAUUUUCCUUGACCCCAGCUCCCCUUUCCAGGACUUAACCCCAGCCCCGUGCUUGAGGCUGAGCUGAUCACUCAAGCUUACGGGUGAUGGGCUGCCUGUCCCCCUCUUCCAGGAGUGAUAUGGGAGGAGUUUCUACUUCCCUGAGACCGGAAUGCUGGCAUGGGCACAGUUAAGGAUUGGAGGAGGGGGCGGGGAUGAAUGAGGCAAGACCUGGUGCUCUGGAGCCCUUGGGCUACCCGGGGAACUGAGGUACGCUAAGAAAACACAGACCCAGCCUUCCCCAUCCAGCCCCUGGCCGGCUCCUCAAGGCUGACGGGAGCCAGAGAUGCUGCUGCCACGUUCCAGCUGGGGGUGUUUGUGUGCUUUUGUCCCCACUAUGGUCUUCAUUUGCUCCAGGUGGCUUAAUAGAGCUUUUGGCUCAGAAAACCAAGGAAGUGCAGAGAGGUCUCACCUGAGGCACUGAAACAUUUCCUUUAAUAACAGAAAUGGGAUAGGAGUGGGAGAGAGAACUCUCCAAGCAUUUCUUUAAGGUAUCUGGUCAGAAGCAAUGCCCCUCCCUCAGCUCAGAGCCUGGUCUGACAUCCUAAUGUUUGCUAUGGGCAAAUCCCAAAUGAAGAAAGGCACCUACAAGAUGUUGAGGACUAAAGGCUGUGUCUGGAUAGAGUGGGCAGGUCAGCUGCUCUAGUUUCCAUUGCAAGAAGAAAUUUUGUUUCUUCUUCUUCUUUUUUUUUUUUUCUUUUUUUUUUUUUAUGAGACGGAGUCUAGCUUUGUUGCCAGGCUGGAGUGCAGUGGCGGGAUCUCGGCUCACUGCAACCUCUGCCUCCUGGGUUCAAGCGAUUCUCCUGCCUCAGCCUCCCAAGUAGCUGAGAUUACAGGCACAUGGCACCAUGCCCAGCUAAUUUUUGUAUUUUCAGUAGAGACAGGGUUUCACCAUGUUGGCCAGAAUGGUCUCAAUCUCCUGACCUUGUGAUCCACCCAUCUUGGCCUCCCAAAGUGCUGGGAUUACAGGUGUGAGCCACCACGCCCUGCCUGUUUCUUCUUAAAAGUCUUUCAUGGCUCUCCAUCUACAGAUGAAAUCUAACUCCUUAGCAAAGCAUCAGGGAUCUCCGUGAUCUGGCCCCUGCCUACCUUUCCAGCAUAUCCUGCUAUUCCCAGCUUGAGCAACACGAAACUGCUUAGAGAUGCUCCUGCCACACACACAGAAUGUUCUUUCCACAUCUCUGUGCCUUUGAUCUUGUUGAUACUUCUGCCUGGAAUAACUUUCCCUAACUCAUUGUUAUCCAUUCCUCAAGAUUCAGCUCAGGUUUUGAUACGGUAAGCAGCCAAAAUAGUCCUUAGAAGAAAAUGUAUAGCCUUAAAUGAUGCAUUAGAAAACAGAAAAGAUUGAUAAUAUCUGGACUGAUCUUUCAACUCAGGAAUACAGAAAAAAGACCAGCGAGCAAACCUAAAGAGAAUACAGGGGUGAAUUUAAUCAAAAUAAAAGCAGAAAUAGUAAAACCUUAUUAAGCUAUGUCUCUGUCUCUUGUAACUCAAAGAGCCUCAAUUAAUAUACUAACCUUCAAAACACUGUUUUACCUAGUUUCUGAUAAGUUCUGCAUAACAAGAAAUCAGUUUCCUAUGUAAUUGUAUUCUAAUGAUCUACAGCCUUCCAAGUCAGGAAUUUUUUCGUAGGGCUUAGUCUAAAUCCUUCCUGCUGUUCAAUGUGCUAUCUGAGGAGGAGAGAAGGCAUGGCAUACCCGUUGAGUCUUUGAACAUCCACAUGUUGUCAGUCUCAUCCUCCAAAGGUGAUCUGCUCUCGGACUCACUGAAUCGGCUGCGCCGGAGGGAGUGGGAGAUGGGGGCCCGGCGGCGGCUUCUCUUGCUGAGCUGCACCCGGGUCUUGAGGGCACUUGAGUCGAGGACUGAGGUUUGCUUUGGGAGCAGCAGGGAGCAAGAGGAAAAAAAUCAAGGGAACCAUCAAUGGAGGGUACCACAACACAGUUGGUGGUACACAGCUUCGUUGACAGAUGAGAGGCUAUUUAGGUGGUACCUAGGCCAGGGCUUCCACAUUUUAAUAGUAACCUAACACCCAAAGCCUAAAUUUCCCCAUAAAACAUACCCCAUAGGCUGAUGACAAAAGUCAGGUGGAACAAUGAACCUUGAGUGCCCUAGUACAGUGCCUGGCUGCCUGGCACCCAGUAGGCACAUAAUACAAAUGCCUUUUCCCUCCCAGUGACAUCCACCACACAAGCAUGUAAUCUACAGCAAUGAUCAGUACACAGCAGGAGCUCAAUAAAUGUUUGUUUGUUUGUUUGUUGAAUGAAUAAUGGAUUUAACAUCUAACUAAAUCCUUCUGUCAACUGUAUUCACACAGAGUCCCCGGGUUGAGAGGUUCUCCGUGGAAUUCCUCCAUUACUCACAUAAUCUAGGGUGCAGGUGGGAAGGGAGGGGGCAGCUUACUAAACAUCAGGUGUCCAUUUUCAGGCAUCCCUGAAGACUCACACUCUGAGCUGCGACAGGUGGGGGGUUGGUGAGGGCUGCCAAGUCACUACUAUCCAAAGUGAAAGGGUGGGGAGCACAGACCAUCUGGGUGGGCCCCAGUAAGGAGAUGGGAAGUGCCUGGCUCAGAAUUCUCCCGGGAGACAGCAGUGAAGUGCUCAGAGCUCGGGUUCAAACCCUGCUGGGUUCGAAUCCUGGCUGUGUGACCUUGGGCAAUGAGCUUCACUUCUCUGAGCUUGGGUGUCCCUAUUUAUAAAAAGGAGAUAAACAGAGUGCCUCCUUCCUACAGUGGCUGAGAGAACUCCCUGUGCUCAGGUGUGGAAAGCCCUUGUUUCAGACAGAGCCUGACCAAGGUUCACAGCCAAGAGCUCUUUCCAGCAAGCUCAUGUUCUUACAUGAAAUGUUGGUUUCUUCCGCCUAGGUCCACUUUGGAGAAAUUCCAUCACCCAAGGCCUUCUAAGUCAGUGAUGACAGGCUAAUUUCAAUGAAUCAUUUCCCAACGAUGAGGUGCCAGCGAGAGACCUUGGCCAUACACUGAAGGAGAAUCCUCUUUGAAGCCCUAAAGGAAGCCCUUUUUCUAAAGCAGCGGUGUUCCUCCUCUGGGGAAAUGUGGGUAGCCAUGCCCAAGUGUGUAGGUGGGAGGCUUUACUGCCAGCAGAGAGGGUCCCUUUCACAUUUCGCAGACGUUCCAUACCCCAGAGAGUGGGCAGGUAGCCCUAUUGUUAUGGGAGGAGAAUAAUGACAUCACCCCUGGGUUUCAAGGGUUGAAAAGGAAGACGUGCCUGACCCCUGGAGGUGGGGCUCCCAGGGGAAAGGAGGACAAGUUCUGGUCUUGAAGGUGCUAGAGCAGGAGACCAUUUGACCUGCUACGCUGGGGCAGCUGACAUCCUGGCUGUGCUUGGGACCUGAAAGAGCUGAGUGCUAGGGGCUGUCCCCUGGGACCUCCAUGAACGGUGCCCACGCCUGAGGGGACUUUCUGUCCUGGAAGAGCCACUACAGAGACAGCCGGAUCCCCUGGUACCAGGGACACUGUUGUACCAAGCAAGACCUUAGUGAGAAUGUUCAGCAGAAUCAUUCUGAGCAAACUCCAGGCUCUUCAUGCUUGAAACUGUAAACCUCAGGGUGACUUCCCAGGGGUAAGUGGUCAGACUCCCUGCUUACCUGGCAGGUGAGGGCUUAGAUCAGUUUUAAUUUGAACACAUGCAAUUGUAUUUGAGGCUGUGGAGCUGAUGGUGCUGGUUACAAGUGGAUAAGGAAGCUGAGGCUCAAAGAGGUGAAGACAUAUGCCCCAAGACACACAGCAGGUGUAUGGCAGGUCCAAGAUACAUGCAUAAGUGAGUCCCAUUUCAAAGACGGUGCCCUCUGUACCCACUCCAAGGGUCCCUGACACACAGAUCCUACACCUGAAGCAGCAAUUCACAGAGAGAGGCUGGAAUUUCCAUUUAAGAAGAAAUGCUCCUGGCUACCGACUUACAUUGAUGAAGGAGAAGUCAUCCACUCUCUUUUCAGGGCAGGCGUCCGGUGGGGGCAGCCCCUCCAUCCCGUCAGUGGAUUCCAGGUCAGUGCUGGAGUGGUCCACGCUGGUGCUCCGCUGGUCCCUGGAGCAGUCAUACUGGUCCCCGGUUGAGGUGGGCUCCGUUUGGGAGGACAGAGAAGACAAACGGCUGCUGGGGGGCUGUUUCCUUGUCGAUGUGGCACUGCUAUCUGGGGACUCAGUGGCCAAGCUGCCAAAAAAAGGGAAUGAAGGGAGACAUGGUUAUGGAGAACGUUUCAGAGAACAGGAUUUCAAGUGAAGGAUGCUGCAGGCAGCAUAGCUUGGGGUAUGUUUUAUAAGCCAGGUAACAACAGACAGAACAUCCCAGCAGAAGACCCUCUUUGGAAACAGCACAAGAUGUGCCAGCGAGGUGCUGUUUAAGACACUGCCUGGAACACCUGGCCAGGUGCAGAACAGGAGGAGUCAGUCCUGUGCCACUCAAGAUCCUUUAGCCCUGUGCUGUCCUGGAUGGAAGCUGCUUAUCACAGGUGGUUGUUGGGUCCUUGCAAUGGAGCAAGUGACAGAGCUGAGAUAUGCCGUGAGUAUCUGACACACUGGAUUUUCUAUACCUUACACACUGGAUUUCCAAUACUUUGAAUGGAAAAAAAGAAUGUAAACUGCCUCGCUAAUAACUUUUCAUGUUAAUUACAUGUAGAAAUGAUAGUAUUUUGAAUCCCUUGGUUCCGAUAAAAUACAUCCCUAAAUUGAA